UUCUCAACAACAAUAAUUUAUAAACAGUCACAUAUCAGUUUGGUAAUCUUUCUGAUGAAAAAAAAAAAUUAUACAUAUAAGUAGCAUUACAAUGUGAAGGAAUAAAACAUUUAACAACUAUGACAGCCAUGACAACAGCAAACAAUAGCCAAAAUAAGGGGGGAAUUAUUAAUAAGCAAGCUAUUAGUAAUAAACAAGCCAGACAAUAGGGGUUAAGUUUAUUGCUUCUUGUCCAUUACAAAUGUCUAGAUCUUUGAUAUCUAUAUACCAUCAAAUUAAAAUACAAACACAUCCAAAGAAACACCAUUUUUUUUUGGCUUGCACAAGUGCCUAGUUUUCUACCUAGCCUUCUUGGACAUAAAGACCAAAUAUAGAGGCAGCUAGCACCGCAGAUGGCAAGCUGAUUUAAGUUUGGUUCUUCAUUUCAGGUUCUGCUCUUGCAUUUCUCCAUAGCUCUUGGUGCAAGUCCAAUAGCUUCAGAUCCUUUCAUAAUGCGCAAGCGCUUGCAUGAAUCAACAAACAUCUCCCACGGAACGUCGCCCACGAGCAUCCAGUCACCAUCCUUAUCUUCAUAGGUUGGCACAUACUCAGAGCUGUUGAGAAGAUCCAUCAACUUGCUUUCAUUCAUAAAGUCUAUCAUUCCUUGGGCUCCAUAAUUACCUUCAUAAUUAAUCAAGUUGACAAAAUCAUUUUAGCUAAAAUCGCUUCUCCGUAUAAUAUAUAAUCUAUGUAGCAUUUACACUAAACCUAUAAUACCAUGAACCAGAUCUAAACAAGUUAGGAUACAAAGAAAUAUAGAGUUUCUUUAAAGUUCUAGUUAAGAGAUCUCAUAAAUGCUAUCGGCUAUCUCUAGCUAGCUAUACAUCUAGUUUCCUCAUGCUGGUUGCUUUCUUCAGCAAGCAAAAAGAUAAGAACUUGCAGUUUUUGUCUGUCCUUUAACCUCAAAAAUUAACAUAUGCAAUUAUUUUGCUAUAGAAUUUUGCUCUGAAAUUUAAUUUUUCAGAACUGUUUUCUACUUGCAGAAUCUUUGUUGGCCAUGAAUUGAUCUAUUAAAUUCAUUGUCCUUAAAUAAAUUUUAAUUUUUCUUGAACUUUUUAUGACUUGCUUCCAAUAGUCAAUGGAUAUUAUACUAUAUACUUACCCAUGGUGAAAGAGCUGAACAUUUUGGCCAAGGCAUCAGAUAGCUCUUGGUAGCUUUUGUACAUCUUCAGGUCUACCUUACGAAGAUAAGGUGCACCAUCCAUGCAAACCUUCACAAAUGCUGCACUAUUGCCGCUUGCUUUCUCACCUUCCUCGCUGGUGUUCUUCUGAGCCAUAAUGUUCUUCCUGUAAGAUCUAACCGGUGGCCAACCCACAACUUGUGCCUUGGCUGGUGGCUUGGCCGGGUCCUUGAUGGUAGCAGCAGGAAGGAGGUUCUUGUCCUUAGAAGCAUUCUUGAUAUUAUCAUUCAGAUCCAUGACACAAUCCUUUGCCUGAAGAUUAAGCUUCAAAUCAACAGUCUCAGCAAAUCCUCUUUUCCCAGUUGCCUUUGAUGUGGUCUCCAUCUCAGUUUUUCCACCACCGGGCAAUCCAAGACACAGCUCAGUCUCCUUGUAGUUAAAAUCUCGGUCAGCGACUCCUAGUACGCUCGCCAUUCUCAGCCACCUCUGAGCAGUGAUUCAAUUUUUUUGGUCCUUGUACUAUUACUUCUUUUCCUUCUUGUUGUAGCGGUCGAUGGCUUUGCUCCUUCCUUGUAGUGUCCUCUUCUCUGUUUUGCAAGCCAGCGAGAGAGAGACCCCAAUAAUAUAACUGG
rnacentral:misc_RNA from 1 species